AUAGGGUGGGCAUUUGUCGGUACCGUCGGAGGGAGCACCGGGCUAACUUCGUGCCCAGCAGCCGCGGUAAUACGGAGGGUGCGAGCGUUAAUCGGAAUUACUGGGCGUUAAGCGCGCGUAGGUGGUUUUGUUAGUCAGGGGUGAAAUCCCACCGCUCAACGGUGGAACAGCCUUUGAUACUGCAUCACUAGAGUAUCGGAGAGGGUGGCGGAAUUCCAGGUGUAGGAGUGAAAUCCGUAGAUAUCUGGAGGAACACCGGUGGCGAAGGCGGCCACCUGGACGAAAACUGACACUGAGGUGCGAAAGCAUGGGGAGCAAACAGGAUUAGAUACCCUGGUAGUCCAUGCUGUAAACGAUGGGUGCUAGGUGCUGGGGAGAUAAAUUUUCAGUGCCGUAGUUAACGCGUUAAGCACCCCGCCUGGGGAGUACGGUCGCAAGGCUGAAACUCAAAGAAAUUGACGGGGGCCCGCACAAGCGGUGGAGUAUGUGGUUUAAUUCGAUGCAACGCGAAGAACCUUACCCAGGCUUGACAUCCAGGGGACCUCUAGGAAAUUAGAGGGUGCCCUUCGGGGAGCCCUGAGACAGGUGCUGCAUGGCUGUCGUCAGCUCGUGCCGUGAGGUGUUGGGUUAAGUCCCGCAACGAGCGCAACCCUUAUCUUUAGUUGCCAGCGAGUAAAGUUGGGCACUCUAGAGAGACUGCCCCGGUUAACGGGGAGGAAGGUGGGGACGACGUCAAGUCAUCAUGGCCCUUACGCCUGGGGCUACACACGUACUACAAUGGUGCGCACAAAGGGAAGCAAGACCGUGAGGUGGAGCCAAUCCCAAAAAACGCAUCUCAGUCCGGAUUGGAGUCUGCAACUCGACUCCAUGAAGUCGGAAUCGCUAGUAAUUCGAGAUCAGCAUGCUCGGGUGAAUGCGUUCCCGGGCCUUGUACACACCGCCCGUCACACCACGAAAGUUGGUUUUACCCGAAGCCGGCGAGCUAACGAGCAAUCGAGGCAGUCGUCUACGGUA
rnacentral:rRNA from 1 species